UUAGUCUCUACUUUAUCUCAUAACUAUUCAUUGAGAUGACCAUACACUGACUUCUCUUAGACCAACGAUGCAAAGCUCAGCCAGAAAAUUUCUCAUGUCAUCUUGUGUUGCCCUUUGUCUGUGGUGAAUGCAUGACAUUCCCGUACUAGUUCAUUCCACAACGCAAACCCAUCACGUACUUCCCAUUCCCUACCUCCACCUCAUACAUGCCAAUGUCGAGUGGACUCGAACCCCUCCAAUGACAACGCCGACCAUUCCCUUCAAGGACAACGCCGGUCAGUCUUGUUUAAGUUCUCAGUGAGAGGCCUUUCAAGCGGUUUUGGUGUAAAACCUACCUCGCGUGCAAAAAGUCCAGCUACCCUUUAUGAGGUUUCAGCUUCCCAUAAAGUAUUUGAGAGCAUCAUAGGCGAAAAGGCCACUUGUGCCUGGUGCAUUUUGUUUGUUUGUCGUGCGAGUCUUCAGCUUUACCCUACAAACAAGUUUGAUCAUGCCAUUCUUGCUUGACUCCUCUACCCUCUGCAAGAACAGUGGCUUCACAUGGGUUUGUGGAGAUUCUUGCAAUCUCUAAAGGGGGUUCUCGGUUUGUUUGUUGUAGAGGAAAAUUUCCAAUAAAUUCAACAUGCCCAAACCGAGGAAACCCACCCCUACAAAUUUAUGCAAGCCUCACACCAUUGUCUCCAACUCUACCCAUAAAAGCCGUAACACCCAUAUGUUGGCCACCACGGGUUUGGAGACGCACUCCUACUAGCAAUUAUUAGCACUCCAUGGAUGAUACCAAAACCAUUUGUGAUAAGGAAUUGUGGAAUAAUGUGAUGAAGGAUAUCUUCAUCGAGAUGUUGUAUGGAGAAAGCUUGACCGGUACAUUGAGAGGUGGCAAAAUCACAAAUAGAGACCAUGCUAGGUGUGCUUAAUGGAUGUCUGGAGUUGGUGUAUAGGUAUAUGAUGCAACCCCAGUGCAGGAAAAACUACAAAGGCUUAAGCCAAAACAACACCUAUCAAUAACCUAUUGAUCCAAAUUGGUAUGGGUUGGGAGCCUAACACCAAAACAACACUUGGCAGAGACGAACACUGGGCCAAUGCAUUAAAGGUGAAACCUACAUAGAAACAAUUCAAGACCUUUAGAUGCCCUAAAUAAGAUAUGCUCUACAUCAUUUUUGGUGCCACUGGGGCACAUGCAUCAAUGCAAGAACCCCCAACCCAAUGACGAUGAACAACAGCUUGAGAAGGAGAUGUGAUAACGGGGCCCUGUACUGGACAAUUGAUAAGGAUUACCCAUUGAUGUUGAUGACAUGACAUGUCCAUGCAAGCAAGGACACCAUCAUCCAUGACAUCUACUUUUUUCUCACAUCAGUGACAGAAGGGUGGCCUCCAUGUAGGUGCUAACACAAAUUAGCAACUGCCUCGAUCAGCUCACGCAUAAUGCUGUAGCAAGAGAAAAGUGCAAUGAGGAUAGAUAUGGGACAAUGUCUACGAAGAUCAAUAUAAUAUUGCAAUAUUGAAUGGAUAUUCACAAAAUUGUAGACAUAUGCAUUUCACACUUUAUGCAACAUGUUAAGUUAACAUUAUAUUAUGAAAUCUACAUGAGGGGUGAAGAUGGAAUUGGUAGUCAUAUUUUUCCUUCUGGUUGGUCAUGCAAAGAGACAAUACUUUGUGGGGGCCAGUUUCAACAUUCCAAUGAAACCAUUAAUCUACAUGUCAAGGUAGUGAUGUGGGUUCUAUGUGAGCUUGAGAGACAAUUGAUUGCACCAACGCACUAUGACACCCCCAGACCCUGCUUGGAAUUUGAUGGA